rnacentral:lncRNA from 1 species
GAUUCAUGCAAGGCCCUCGGGUGAGGGACUGUCGAUCCCGACAGCCAUGCCAGCGCAGGGCCAAGAAAGAAUGUCCUGGAAGGGUGGGGAUGGGUUGGGCUUUCUGAACCCUCCCACCUCAGGAAGGCAAAAGACACAGAUCACAGGCAGCAAGGGGCUGCCAUUUCUGAUGCUUAUACCCUCCACGGUGGCUACAGGAGCCCGCACCAGCAGUGGGAGGAGCAACAUUCCAGAAGCUGCUUCUCUCUGCACCGAUGCAGAAACUGUGCCUGCCAGAUAGUAAUGAUCCAGCCGAGGGCACCAGGCUACAAUUUGCAGAACUGGACUGAAGAAUGGCUGACAUAGCCAGCUGCAGUGGCUCAUGCUUGUAAUCCCAACAGUUUAGGAGGCCAAAGCAGGAGGAUCACUUGAAGUCAUGAGUUCAAGACCAGCCUGAGCAACAUGGCAAGACCCCAUCUCUAUAAAAAAUACAAUAAUUAGCAGGGCAUGGUCGCACAUGUCUGUAGUCCCAGCUGCUUGGUAGGCUGAGGCGGAUGGAUCAUUUCAGCCCAGGAGGCAAGACUGCAGUGAGCCAUGAGUAUGCCACUGCACUCCAGCCUGGGUGACAAAAGAAAAAAAAAAUAGAAUGGAUGAUAUAAACUUUAUUGUUUACUGUGGGGUUGCGGUGGGGGGAGGCGUUAGUUCGUUCUUCUUUCUCUCAAUACCUUUACAAAGUCUCUGUUUCAAAAGAGAGCGCAGAUUAUGCCUGCUACCCCAAGUCCUGAGUCAGAAUUCAAAGGCAAAUAUGGUAGGGUGAUGAGGCAGAAAGGACUUAGGCAGCAGGAGAGCUGUGAUUGGUGGAAGGGGCAGGCAGGAAGAGUUUGGGUUUGGAGACACUGGUUGCUGAGUCAGAACUCCAGCUCUGUCAUUGCCUGUGUGACUUUGGGCAAGUUACAUGUGAUUGUUGGAGCUUCCAUUUCAUUUGCUAAAUAAUUGGGAUCAUAAUACAUACAACGUGGAGUUGUUAGGAUGUCACGAGAGAAUGCACAAGAAGGCAAUGAAGAAGGUGGCAGCCAGACUGAAGGGAAGAGGGGCUGCAAGACUUGGAGUUGGUGAUGGCAACCCUGGAGAGGAAAGGAACAUGGCCAAGAGGUUGGGAUUCAUGCUAGAUCAAGAAGGAAGAACCCAGAAGCAGCCCAGAGGCUUCACAGCUACAUAAGAAAAAAAAGGGGGCCAGGCACGAUGCCUCAUGCCUGUAAUCCAGCACUUUGGGAGCCUGAGGCGGGUGGAUCACGAGGUCAGGAGUUCGAGAGCAGCCUGACCAACACAGUGAAACCCUGUCUCCACUGAGAAUACAAAAAUUAGCCAGGCAUGGUGGCACACGCCUGUAAUCCCAGCUACUCAGGAGGCUGAGGCAGGAGAAUCCAGGAGGCGGAACUGCGGUGGGCAGAGAUCACGCCACUGUACUCUAUUCUGGGUGACAGAGUAAGACUCCAUCUCAAAAAAAAAAAAAGGAUGUGACUAUUGCCAAAACCAACUUGUAAAACAUCACCAUGAUAUGUCACCAAGCUACCUACGAGAUGCUGGGCAUACCUUCGGUGGAAGAAAGAAACAGCUAUACAACUUUGGGUUGCUUCAUUUUUCUCUUGCAUUUCUAGUUCAGGUUGGUUUUGGUGUUCUGUUGUUGUUGUUGUUUUGCAUUCCAAAAAAAAUAAAAAAUAA